UACGAAGGGGGCUAGCGUUGCUCGGAAUCACUGGGCGUAAAGCGCACGUAGGCGGCUUUCUAAGUCAGGGGUGAAAUCCUGGAGCUCAACUCCAGAACUGCCUUUGAUACUGGAGAGCUCGAGUCCGGGAGAGGUGAGUGGAACUCCGAGUGUAGAGGUGAAAUUCGUAGAUAUUCGGAAGAACACCAGUGGCGAAGGCGGCUCGCUGGGACGGUACUGACGCUGAGGCGCGAAAGCGUGGGGAGCAAACAGGAGUUAGAA
rnacentral:rRNA from 1 species